UGCGAACUUGAAUAUUGCUUUGCAGUGCCUU
rnacentral:piRNA from 1 species